rnacentral:lncRNA from 1 species
GUAUACUAACUCGCUUAAUUAAUAACCUCAUUCUAAACUAAUCCAAUUAGAUAAAUCGGUCCACUUAAAAACAAUAAAUCGGCCCAACCAGAAGCCCAUCUCUAAAAAAAAUCAACUUCAGCCCAAGUGAGGUCCCUCAUUUUGCUCAAACACGGUUUCUCCCUCUCUCUGAAAUGUCUCUGCGCCAUCUCUCUCUCUACGCGAGUUCUGCCACCACCUGACCGGCGAGGCCGCGCCUCGCCUCUGAACUCCGCCGAGUCGGCGUCCUCAUCCAUGUCUCUCGUCUUCUCCUAUUCUAUUCACUCUCUCCUUCUCUCAUCCACUUCUUCUUAAUUCAAUUCCUCAAUUCUUUGAUCUAAGCCCUAGUUUUCCCUUUAAUCAUAGACCGCAGUCACCGCCGCCGUUGAAGGCCCGGUGAGACGGACGGUCGUGAUUCCGUCUCUUCUCAUUUCUCAACAGGUUCACCUCUUCUCUGCUCAAGUCAGAAGAGCCCUAGCUCUCUGUUGAUUCAGGCGAAAUCGUCGCGCCGCUGGGCUUCGUCUGCCGCUGCUCUGUGAACUGGCGGGAGUCGCCGUUGGCGUCGCGCUGCCUUUGCCCUAAAAUUGGCAAGGCUGUUGCUCGACGCUCCGCCUCCUCUAUUGGGAACUACCGCCUCCCUGUAAGGUCGUUGGAAGCUGCCCCGUAAGCCGAGGCCAUCUUCCGUAGUCGAGGGUCGCUGCGCCGCCGUUGCUAUUUGUUCGGCGAAUCGGAGCAGUCACUCGUAGCCUCGUCGACUCGCGUUGCUCGUCCACGCAGUCUCCGUUCUGUGCCCAACCCUCCCGGGGUCCGACCACAACCAACCUAACCCAGUCUCUCUCCCGGGAAGGACUCAACAGGUUCGUAAGCUUACAAAGCUCCAACUCUCGAUUGGUAAUGUAAUAGGCGAUUUAUGCAAUCACGUCUGGUGUUUGCUAAAGAACUCUAUUCUUAGCACAACUCACAUUAUUCUAUCCUUUAUACACAUGCUAUGGUUUAUUCUGUACCAUAGGAACUUAUGGUUUUUGCUAUGUCCAUUUAUGCGUAUAUUAUUCAACUCUAUAUUCUGAAUUUCUGAUUAAUCUAAGCAUGCUCUGUUGGGGUGUGAAAUAUGCGAACAUAGAGACUAACUUGAGAUCAGGGGCGAAGCUACGCCCCUGGGAUUUUAAAAAUAGUAGGGGUAUUUUCGUAAUUUUAUAUUAAAAAUAAAAAACAUAUAAUUUUAUCUACAUUAUUAUUAUGUUGAGCUAUUUUAAACUGUAAUUAGUAUGCAAUAUUUAGAAUUAAGACGUUUUGAAGAAGUGAACACAUAAUUAAUUUAUACAUAUCAUGAUUGGAUUGGAUUCCGGAUAUUUAUUUUUUUAAUUUGAUAUUGAAAGCUACUUUGUCUUACAAAGUUUUAUGAUAUUUUUGCAAAUAAAAUCACAUUCUAUUUCAAAUUUGUAAUUUUAACGUAACUUUUGACUGUGGCGAAUUAAAUCACUAUUUUUUCAAUUUUUUCAAUUACGUCCCCUAUUUUUUUUUUCGAUCGUCAGAGUGUUGAAUUGCAGCUCACGUGGAUUAGUAAAGACGACGUCGUUUUUGUGAGGCCUAAACGACGUCGUUUCGUAUAAUUUCAAAUAAUUUUUUUUCCAAAUAAAAGAGACAGUAUCUUGUAUUUGCACCAUAAUUUUUAAUAUGUAGUAAUUUUAUUGCAAAAUACAUCGUAACACGAAUAUUAUAUGGAGAAAUAAUUCACACAAACUUCAAGUUAAUAAUUCGACAAUCCAAAAAAUUGGGGGAUGAAAUUGCAAAAAUUAAAAAAGAUGAGUGAUUUACUUUGCCACACUUUCAAAGUUACAUUAAAAAAAAUUUGGACCCCCCUGAAUCGAAAGUCUAGCUCAGCCCCUGCUUGAGAUAGUAAAUACCUUGAUUGUUUUGUCCUUUUCGCUGUCUGUUGCGCUAUUUGAGUUUAAAGAGGAGAUAGCUGAAAAUUUCAGAUGUUGUUUAUUGACAUAUGCCGGAGGAAUCAAGAAUGAACUGGUAGAAAACUUAAGCCAAAGCUUACCUGUUCUAAGUUUGGCAGCAAUUGAAGUCUCUCAUUCCUUUGGUUGUUGAUGAACUAAGGAAUGAAUGAAAGGGCUGAUAGCCGUAAAGAAUCGAAUAUGGUGAAGGUGGUGAGUAGCUGAGGGGAUGGGAUGUCAUAGGGUGGCUGAUUGACUCUCUAGGUGUACCUUGGGUAUGGCUUUGAAGCUGCUCUAGCUGCAGAGAAGGGAUGGGAGCUGCUGUUGCAGCUGCCCUUGUACAGCACGUCCUCCCCCCCCCCCUCUUUUCUUCUCUCUUUGCCAUUUUUUUCCUCCUUUUGUUGCUACGUGUACAAGCUAGAUAGUAGGAGUGAAGUUGUAAUGUAGCUAGGAAUAAAUCCUUCUGUCUUGUAUUUAAUCUGAAUAUAGUUAUGAGUUUUGCUAAUAUUGCUUGUUUGUAAUCGAAUACUAGUUACUCUAAUAAAUCCCGUAUCUGCUAAUUCUAUAUUAAACCCGUAGAUUUAAUUCGCU